rnacentral:sRNA from 1 species
UGUUAUAAAUUAGAUAAUGAUUAUCCAUCACAUCAUAAUAUUAUUUGAUCUCAUCUUUUAAUCUUAUCUAAUACUUGGUCCCCAAACUACUUGUUCACCAAGUCAUUUGAUGUUUAUCUAUUCUUAAAGGUAUAAUAAAUAGACAAGAAGAAGAGAAGAGAGAAUAAUAAAGUUUUGCUAAGCACUUUCCGCUCUCUCGGUAAAAGGCGUAUUUCAACCCCAACUAUUUUGACGGAGUUUUUUCCUACUCGUACGACGAGACGAUGCUUAAUUUAAAUUAACUAUCUGGACUCUUACUAUAAAUGGCAAAAAUUACAUUUACUAAAUUUGACGUUAGUCAACUGUUAAAAAACGCUGACAAAGCAUGACGAAAUCUGACUUAAAACGUCUUUGUUCCUAUUGAUUAAAAAAUCAAACAAAAUAUCACUUCCAAAAAGACUCGAACCAUAGAAAUCUUAGAGUAGAUGGCACUGUUAUUACCAAUUGAGCCGCAUGUAUUUUCGAUAUUGUUUACCACCACAUUUAUUUAUACCAUUCUGUCUUUAUCAUUCCCUACCAAAAAUGAUUUCCCCAAGUUGUGCUAAAACUUUAACACGUUUGUAACUAAAUAUUAGUACAAACUAUUACUAAAACUAAUUCAUAUUAAUCGAGGUAUAUCCCUAAUAAUAUAUAUAUUAUUUGAAGUAUUAAAGUUUCAGCUUAUAUAUAUAUAUAUU